AUUCUUCUAGGUCAUACAACAUGAUGAUUGGUCAAAUCAUGAGCUAUUCAUGAACUGUGCAGCCGCAUUGUUACGCUGUGCACAUGAACCAUCUGAUU